rnacentral:rRNA from 1 species
AAGGAGAAGUCGUAACAAGGUUUCCGUAGGUGAACCUGCGGAAGCGCAGCAGAGGGGAGGGACUUGGGGCAAAUGCUCGUUCGUUUCUGUCGUCUGCUCAACAACCAACCCCGGCGCAGUACGCGCCAAGGAAUAGAAAAUGAAAAGGGCGUGCUUUUCUUUCGGAAUGCAUUGCCUUCUUUCAAGAAUCAAAAUGACUCUCGGCAACGGAUAUCUCGGCUCUCGCAUCGAUGAAGAACGCAGCAAAAUGCGAUACUUGGUGUGAAUUGCAGAAUCCCGUGAAUCAUCGAGUUUUUGAACGCAAGUUGCGCCCGAAGCCUUUCGGCCAAGGGCACGCCUGCCUGGGUGUCACGCAUACGUCGCCCCAUCCUCCUCGACACCUCGGGAGUCAUGGGAGCAGAAGUUGGCCUCCUGUGUGCCUUGCGCAUGUGGUUGGCCCAAAAUGCAUGUUCGCGGCAAAUGAUAGCCAUGACGAUCGGUGGUUGUAAAGACCCUCUGAAAAAGUCGUGCGCUGUUCUUAGCCGUCGGGACAUUCCUUGACCCUAGGGCGUCCUCAGGGCGCGCUCCGACCGCGACCCCAGGUCAGGCGGGACUACCCGCUGAG